rnacentral:lncRNA from 1 species
GUGAACAAGAAGCCUACUCUCACUAUCUGAUACACGGGGUGACAGACGUGCUGUUCGGCCACAUUUCAAUGGCUGAGUACCACACCUCGUGUACUGACUUCGUUUUUACCCUGGAAUAUCACAAGCUAAUCUACCUGUAUCCCUCACCCAGAGCACUGAAAAGCAGUUUUGCUUUUCUGAAGAUAUUUUCAGUCGCGACGUGGUGCUCCUGCGGAAUCUCUCUGUGCCUGAUUGGUUUCGUCUAUCGAACCAUCACCUACAUCGAAGAAACGUUG